ACUGCAACAUCGUCGCCUCUGCUUCUUUCGAUUUCAGAAACUUUUACAUCACCAAUCAGGAAAUCCAUAAACAUAUAAUCUGAUUUCAGUUGAACGAUGCAGUUUCAAACAUGUUACUCUUUGUAAUGGGAAUAAAUGAAUGCUGCCUUCAUCUUUUGACAUAGGAGAGAUCAUAUGUCAUGAAAAGAAGAGCAAGACCUCGAUGGUGCAGGGUGCUGCAUUACAACAUUGGACCAUACAAAAAGUUCAAAAAGUUAAGUACAGAAGUGCUUCUAAACCAGGUGGUGUGCAUGGAUCCCAAUAGAUUGCAUCAUAUGAACACCCAACAAAAGAAAAUUGGAUCAUUUGCACACACCAAAUUUCCAUGGUUUGCAGAACAUGGUUCACAAUAGUAACAGAAAAUGAUGAACACAAUUAAGAAAGGUUCCAUCUAAAAUGACCCAAAAAAGAUUUGAGUAAAGAAAAAACAAAAAAAGAUGUUGCAGCUGCCCGCAGGACCUUGAAUAAUCCACUUACUGACAACACCAGACCAAGAUAUAUCGAAAGGCUUACAGACUACUGGGUCAUCUUGCUCCAAAUUAUUGUCUAUUCAUUCAGAUUCAAUCAUUGGAUUGCCUAGUCACCUCACCUCAUGUAGCAUUUUGCAAAGACUUCAUGUUACUUUGACUUGUAACAGAUUCAGUUUCAGUAAAAUA
rnacentral:lncRNA from 1 species